rnacentral:rRNA from 1 species
CUGGCACAAUACUGACGCUCAGGUGCGAAAGCGUGGGGAGCAAACCGGCUAAAAAUACCCUGGUAGUCCACGCCGUAAACGAUGUCUACUAGAUGUUCGUGGUCUUGUACCGUGAGUAUCGCAGCUAACGCAUUAAGUAGACCGCCUGGGGAGUACGGUCGCAAGAUUAAAACUCAAAUGAAUUGACGGGGGCCCGCACAAGCGGUGGAGCAUGUGGUUUAAUUCGACGCAACGCGAAGAACCUUACCUACUCUUGACAUCUACAGAACUUGGUAGAGAUACCUUGGUGCCUUCGGGAACUGUAAGACAGGUGCUGCAUGGCUGUCGUCAGCUCGUGUUGUGAAAUGUUGGGUUAAGUCCCGCAACGAGCGCAACCCUUAUCCUUAGUUGCCAGCGAUUCGGUCGGGAACUCUAGGGAGACUGCCGGUGAUAAACCGGAGGAAGGUGGGGACGACGUCAAGUCAUCAUGGCCCUUACGAGUAGGGCUACACACGUGCUACAAUGGUAUGUACAGAGGGAGGCAAGCUGGCGACAGUGAGCGGAUCUCUUAAAGCAUAUCGUAGUCCGGAUUGGAGUC